GCCGGAGCAAGAACAACGGCGUGAAGAGCUAAAAGCGAUUCCAAGGAAAUGUAGCAGAAGUGUCAGUCCAGCUGCACUCAUGUCCUGGCAAAAGGGACAGACCAAGCCGGCUGCUUCUCCAUGUGCUCUGGUGCUGGUCUCCCACCGGGACACAGAGCAGGGCCGGGGCUCCAAGCACUGCUUUAGGGUCUCCCAGAAGUGCAAGGAAGCCUCACGCGAUGCCUGAUUCAGAAGUAGGCUGCUACCAGGCAGCUUUGUGCAUUUGGUGGCUUCCUUGGAAACUCAUCAAAUGCUUGGCACAAAUGCGUCCCUCCUCCAGUGACAGGAGCUCACACUUCGGCAAGCAUCAAACUGCUCUGAAAUGUGAUAACGGCGUCUGUCAAUUUCUGCACACAGAGUGCUGUUUUCUGCAGCGGGACUGUUUGUCUUGGCCUUCUGGAGCUGUAGGAGCUUUCAGACCCCCUACUCCUUGGAGCAAGGUUUGGGGGAUAGAUGGGGUACAAAAGGGCAGGGCAGGUUUUGGGAGAGGUGGGGAGCGCUCAUAGGAGCGCUCCAUUUGUGGGGUAGUGGGAGAAGGGAGGGUUCUGUGGACAUUCCUUAGCCAGGCGGCAGGCACAGCUGCGAAUGACAGCAGCUGCAGAGCCCAGAAUGGGUCUGAGCCUGGCCUCUCCCUCCCUACGCCUGGCGGACAACCUCCUGGUCCCUGGCCACAUUGCUGCCUCCGACUGGCAGCACAGGACACUCAGCCUUCCCCCCGCCCCCCACCGCAAUGAGGUUUGAGCAGGUGCUGGGGGUGGGGAGAGGAGUAGGUGUGUCUUAGGAGGAGAAGGACGAUGGGGUGGCAGAGGUGGCACUGUGCCUGGUGUUUUGGGGACUGAAAGGAGGACACGUUCAUUGUUUGGAUGUAUUUGUAAUUUAAGAUUACAUCUUUCCUAAAGCAGGUGCUGCUGCAAUGGGGUGAGCGCGGAGCAAACAUUGAAAGGCUUUGAGCUGGGUAAGGGCAGGUUCAGGAGGCAGGUCUGCCUGCAGGGUGGAGGGAAGCUGGAUGGAGCAGACACCCCAGAGGCUGUCCAGUGGUCCAGGUGGACAGGGAAGGGGGUGGUGGGGAUGGAGACCACAGGAAGAUCCAGGGCUUGGGCAGGGCGUGUAGGACUUAGGAUGUUCUGUUCCCCUCUGUCCUUAGCCCUGAUACAACAAUAUGCUUAAGCCGUCUUCUCCCCUUCUAGGAGCUCAGUGGACCCUCAAAGCUCAUGGAGGACCUGGCAAGGGUUCUCUUAGAAAGGGGCUAAUGGAAAUGUCCUUUAGGAAAGGUGAGGAUUCUUCCUGCUGGAUGCCGUGAAGAUUAAGGAUGACGGAGCCUCCAUCUGAGUGACUCAUUUCUGGGCAGUGAUGGGGGUCCUGGCCCUCAGCCACUGCUCCUGGUGUCCCAAGGCUCCCCCAGCGAUCCUUAAUCAGGCCACUAGCCAUGGCAGCAUUUGGUGUGCUUCACCUGUUGUGGUUAUUUUCCUAACUAUGCCCCGAUCGUCCCAUUCUUAAGCUGGUGGGAGCUUAUUCAAGUUAACUCUUGAAUUUUUCUGAGCCAAUCUCAGUCGUUUCGGCUUUGGUCUGGCGAGAAGCUUUAGGGUCUGUGCAUUUCCCGCUUUGGUUCUGGAAUCAGCCAUUUCUCCAAGUGGCCCUGGUUCCUUUUGGUGGGAAAUGGUAUUGAGAGGUCACACUCUAGGUAAAUGUGUCCCUCCUUUCUUGGCCAAAAAUGCCACAGCCGCUCCAAAAGUGUGUGAUGUCAAAUUUUGUAAGAAACUUUUAGAUUUUUGCUAAUUUUAAUGGGUAAAAAUUGUUACCUUAGGGUUGUUAAUAAUUUGCCUCUCAUUACGAGUAAGGUUGAGUAGUUACGAAAAUAUGUGUGUAUAUAAACUGCAGUGGCUUGGCUCGUUGCUAUGGCAUGGGUUUGAUCCCUUGCCUGGGGACUUCUGCAUGCCUUGGGAGCGGCUAGACACACACACACACACACACACACAGACACACACACGCGCGCGCGCGCGCGCCAUUUGCUCAUUUUCGAAAUUAUUUUUUUGGCUGCUCUGCGGCAUAUGGAGUUGCUGGGCCAGGGGUCAGGUCCAAGCCACAGUUUCAAACCUACCUGUGGCAACACCUGAUCCUUUAACCCACUUCGCUGGGCUGGGGAUCAAACUUGCAUCCUGGUGCUGCAAAGAUGCCACCAAUCCCGUUGCACCACUGUGUGAACUCCUCAUUUGCUCAUUUUAAAAUGGGAUUGUUUGUUCUUGUCGCCUUUAGUUUUAGAAGCUCUUUGUUUAUAAGGAUAUUAACCUUUGUCUUUUACAUAAGUUACAAAUAUUUUUCCUGGUUUUUCUUUGGUCUUUUUACUUUGUUUAUAGUGUUUUUUGUCACUCAGAAGUUUUUGUUUUGUUUUGUUGUAAAGAUCAUGACUUCAUAACCUAGACUGCAAAGAUGGACUUCAAGGAGUCUGAAUCCACUGUUUUUUGUGCAGAUUUCAGGCUAUAUAAACACAUAUGCAUCUUCCUGGGAAAAGAGUCGAUUUCUUUCAUUAGCAUCCCAUCAUUUAAGAGCUUACCUUUAAAUCCUCGAAAUCUAGGAGUCCUUGCCCUUAAGCUUUGGCAAGGGCCUCACCUCUGUCCCCUCAGACUUCAGCUUCUCCCCUGAACAGUGAGGGGCCUGGGCAAAAGGCCCUUAGGGCUUCUCUCCAGAGUCUGGAUCUGCCCAGGCUCCCCCUGAAGCAGCCCCCCAGACCGUAUUCCUCCUGGCCUUUUGGCAGGAGGUGCCACUCUCAUUUGCUAAAUUCAGGGUCAUUCCUCCCCAAUCAUCCCCCAGGAGACCUAGACACCGGAUGAGUCACCUUGCUAUUGGGAAAGGUCUCCCUGAGUUAGCCAUGAGGGUUGCUAGAAGUUCAAGGUAAACCAAAGUUCUAAUAAAUGAAGUAAUACCCACAGUACUGACCCAGAAUGGAGAGGAUUUGGCACUCAGGAAUAAAAUCACCAGCAGAAAUUAAUGGAUAAUUGGACAUUAAUUCUUUGUGAACGCAAACAAAUUAAAUUUCACUUGGGUGGCGAAGGGACCAGGCUGACUGUGGAAUGCACUGUCCUGGCCUUUGGAGGCUUAAUCUUCUCACCAGGGCUGGAGGUGGGGUGAGGAGAUGACUAAUUAAAUGUUUUUUAAAAAAAGUCUCUACAAUGUUGGAAAAGCCCCCAAAGCUGAAAUCCCUUUGGAAAGAACAAUCCACAAGUCCUUGAAUUGUUCCUCUGUUUACACUUGACUUAGUGUCCUGUUGGUGUGUGUCUAGGGAGAAACCCGUCUGCUAUCCCAGGAAAUACCUUAACCACCCCCAGAGAAGGGAUGAGACCCCCUUAGACAUUGACCAUCCCUGAAAGUCUCCAACCCAAAUGGGCCAUUUGUCUUUCCCUACAGAGCUCACAGGGCUGUGAGUCCUGUGACAAAUAGCCUUUCUCUGGACCCUGGGCCCCUAGCAUGGAGCUACUAGUGGGCUUGGGGUCUGGGCAGAGCUGGCCACUUGGCCUGGCUUCUUGGCUUUAGAGAGGGAGUAGGUUGGGAGUUUCAGAGGAAACUAGGACAAUCGUCCAGCAGCCAGCACAGGGCAGGGCCCAGAGCGACCGCUUGGUCAAGGCUGGAGCAUGAGUGUCAUGGUGGGAGGGCUGGGACCGAAUGCACGAUGAGGGCCCUGGAACCGCACGGCUAAGCAGGGCGGUGGACAUUGUGGCCUGGGGCUUCCGUCCGCCACACAGAAUGUGCCAGAAGGGUUCUCUUUCUGCAACUCGACUUCUGCAACCCUUGCAUUUGCCAGAGUGACAUCCUUUGUCCUCCAUCCCCCCCAGUCCAUGAAAACAAAACCUACGUUAAUCCCCACCUCUCACCACCCCACAAAGGGCCAGUAAGCUGGACAUGAGAGCUUAUGGCCCUGAAAGAUGCUAGUCCAAUCUCCUGGUCCUCAGCCCCAAGCUCUGCCUGGCAUGUGCCUCCCUGCUUCCCUUUUCCUAAACUUCAUGGCACCCAAAUGUUCAAAAUCAGCCAGGAACUCUUGCCAACAGGGGCUGCUCACUGGGCAGCCGGGCCUGACCAGGACUUGGGUACAGUUGCUCUUACUGGGCUUUUUGGGAAACAUUUAUGCUGCCAUGCCCAUCGAUCGUCUGCCCAGUGGCGGUGCUUGGGGGGCUCUCUGAGCACCCUGCCUCGCUACUCUUUCUGCCCUUCGUGCAUCUGGGCCACUCCUUGCCAGACCCUGCCGAGGCUCAGAAGGGCUCUCUUGAGUUAGUCUCUGCAGGGUCCACCUUCUAGUUGCCCUCAGAGUUUCUUAUGCCCUUGGCUGUCCUUGGUGCCAAGGUCACGGAAAUGAAGUCCCAAGGAGCAGUGCUGCAGGCGGGGGAGGGGCCGCGUGCGUGCUGGGUCUCUGGACCUGGGACACUUGUCCUUAAACCGGAUCUGCCUCUGCCCAGUGAUGCGACCUUGGCUGGUUCCUGGAGGAGGGCCGGGAAGCCAGGCCCACACCCCUCUCCUCUGAACAAGGCAUGGUCUGGCUGCCUAGCGCUGUCCCCUCAGGUGAAGUCCCUGAGCUACGGCUGCCUCAGCUGUAACAUGGGGAUAAGAAUUCCUUCCCCAUUGAGUGUUUGCAGGAGAAGAUAUGUGGUAAUUAUAGGAAACCCACCGCAGAGCAAUUUGCUGAUGUCAAUCAGGAUAAUCCCAGCUGUCUGCUUCCUGGUCUUGGCCUUCAUUUAGGGUCUAUGCUUUUACUAUAUAUAGAUAGCUUUUGGCAUCUGCCUUUCCUGGGUCGAAUUCUUCCUCCCUACGGAAGAUGCAGUAGAUACGGCAUGCCGUAUAUAAUGUUAUAUAGCCUAUGACAGUGCACAGUUUGUAACAGUCCCCAGUACAUAAAUGUUAUACAGUAUACCACAGUAUGCAGCGUAUAACAGUACCUAACAUUAGGGCGUACAUAACAGUAUACAGUGUGCAACGUAUAUGGCGCAUAUAAUAGUAGACAGCACUUAACAGUAUAGAGUAUUAAUAAUACACAGUAUAUAGCAGUAUACAGUACCUAACAGUAUACACUGCUUAAUCGUAUACAGCAUAUAACACUAUACAGUAUGUAACAGAAUAAGGCCUCUAACAGUAUGCGGUGUAUAACAGUGUACAGGAUGCAAGGGUAUGCGGUCUAUAAGAGUAUACGGUAUUAAAGAGUAUGUGACAUAUGACAGGAUAUGACAAUAUAUGUGAAAAUGUUAACUGUUUAGGUGAUUUAAACAUUUUUCUGUGUUGAUUUCAUUUUCUAAAAGGCAAGUAGGUUGCACUGGUUUAGUAUCAAGCUGCAGGACCAGAUUGCCAGGGCUCCAAUCAUAGCUCUACCAAUUAUGAGCUGUAUAAUCUCAGGCAAGUUGACCUCUCUGAAACUCAGUUUGCUCGUCUGUACAAUGGAGACAAAAGACUAACAUUUAGACUAAGAACUUUUAAAAUUCAGCAGUAAAAAACCUCACAAAAAUCCAGUUAGAAAAUGGGUAGAAGAUGGAGUUCCCGUCGUAGCUCAGUGGAAGUGAAUCUGACUAGCAUCCAGAGGAUGCAGGUUCAAUCCCUGGCCUUGCUCAGUGGGUUAAGGAUCCGGGGUUGCCAUGAGCUGUGGUGUAGGCUGCAGAUGCUGCUUGGAUCUGGCAUUGCUGUGGCUGUGGUGGAGGCCGGCCACUGCAGCUCCAAUUGACCCCUAGCCUGGGAACCUCCAUAUGCCGUGGAUGCGGCCCUAAAAAGACAGGAAAAAAAAAGAAAAAGAAAAAGAAAAAAAA
rnacentral:lncRNA from 1 species